rnacentral:rRNA from 1 species
GACGGGACCGCACAAGCGGUGGAUGAUGUGGUUUAAUUCGAUGCAACGCGAAAACCUUACCUACCUUUGACAUGUACGGAACUCGCCAGAGAUGGCUUGGUGCUCGAAAGAGAACCGUAACACAGGUGCUGCAUGGCUGUCGUCAGCUCGUGUCGUGAGAUGUUGGGUUAAGUCCCGCAACGAGCGCAACCCUUGUCAUUAGUUGCUACAUUUAGUUGGGCACUCUAAUGAGACUGCCGGUGACAAACCGGAGGAAGGUGGGGAUGACGUCAAGUCCUCAUGGCCCUUAUAGGUAGGGCUACACACGUCAUACAAUGGCUGGUACAAAGGGUUGCCAACCCGCGAGGGGGAGCUAAUCCCAUAAAGCCAGUCGUAGUCCGGAUCGCAGUCUGCAACUCGACUGCGUGAAGUCGGAAUCGCUAGUAAUCGUGGAUCAGAAUGUCACGAUGAAUACGUUCCCGGGUCUU